UAACCAUGCUGAGGACAUCUUUUGAAUAGAUCUUUAUAUCUCUCCCAUGCCUCAUAGAAUGGUUCAAAGUCUAAUUGUCGAAACUGUCCAAUUUCACUUCUUAAUUG
rnacentral:snoRNA from 1 species